UACGGGGGGUGCGAGCGUUGUCCGGAAUCACUGGGCGUAAAGGGCGCGUAGGUGGCGUCGUAAGUCUGUGGUGAAAGCCCGGAGCUCAACUCCGGGUCUGCCGCGGAUACUGCGAGGCUUGAGUGCUGUAGAGGGGGGUAGAAUGCCGGGUGUAGCGGUGGAAUGCGUAGAUAUCAGGAGGAACACCUGUGGUGUAGACAGCUUACUGGACCACUUCUGACGCUGAGACACGAAAGCGUGGGUAGCAAACAGG
rnacentral:rRNA from 1 species